CGCUUAUCAAGAGUGACCGAGGGAACAGGCCCAAUGACGUCCGGCAACCUCCCGUUAGGGGAACGGUGCCAAAUCCUGCAGAAUGAGUCUUUCAUUCUGAAAGAUAAGUC
rnacentral:ncRNA from 2 species